GAACCAAUUCUAGCCCAACUCAACCUACCCUAAUAUUAUCAAAUUUUAACUAAAUAAAACAUUCACCAUACAUUUAAAGUAUAGGAGAUAGAAAUUUAAUCUACCAUUGGCGCUAUAGAGAAAGUACCGUAAGGGAAAGAUGAAAGAACAUAUUAAAAGUAAAAAAAAGCAAAGUUUACCCCUUGUACCUUUUGCAUAAUGAUUUAACUAGUAACAACUUAGCAAAGAGACCUUAAGUUAAGUUACCCGAAACCAGACGAGCUACUUAUGGACAGUAGAUAGAACAAACUCAUCUAUGUGGCAAAAUAGCGAGAAGAUCUAUAAGUAGAGGUGAAAAGCCUAACGAGCCUGGUAAUAGCUGGUUGUCCAAGAAAGGAAUUUCAGUUCAACAUUAAAUAAUACUAACAAACACCCUUAAGCCAUAACGUAUAUUUAAUUGUUAGUCUAAAAAGGUACAGCUUUUUAGAAACGGAUACAACCUUAACUAGAGAGUAAAAUAAACAUUAUAACCAUAGUUGGCCUAAAAGCAGCCACCAAUUAAGAAAGCGUUCAAGCUCAACACUAAAACAAUGUUUAAUCCUAAUAAUAAAUAAAUUAACUCCUAGCCUGACUAUUGGACUAAUCUAUACAAACAUAGAAGCAAUACUGUUAAUAUGAGUAACAAGAAAUUUUUCUCCUCGCACAAGCUUAUAUCAGUAACUGAUAAUACACUGAUAGUUAACAACUAAUAAAUAAAACCCAACACUAAAUUAUUUAUUAAAAGUACUGUUAACCCAACACAGGUGUGCAUUAAGGAAAGAUUAAAAAAAGUAAAAGGAACUCGGCAAACAUAAACCCCGCCUGUUUACCAAAAACAUCACCUCUAGCAUAAUCAGUAUUAGAGGCACUGCCUGCCCAGUGACAAUCGUUAAACGGCCGCGGUAUUCUGACCGUGCAAAGGUAGCAUAAUCAUUUGUUCUUUAAAUAAGGACUUGUAUGAAUGGCCACACGAGGGUUUUACUGUCUCUUACUUUUAAUCAGUGAAAUUGACCUCUCCGUGAAGAGGCGGAGAUAAAAAAAUAAGACGAGAAGACCCUAUGGAGCUUUAAUUAACCAACCCAAAAAACCACAAAUCCAAACCACCAAGGGAUAACAAAACUUUAUAUGGGUUGACAAUUUUGGUUGGGGUGACCUCGGAGCAUAAAAAACCCUCCGAGUGAUUAAAACCUAGGCUUACCAGCCAAAGUAUUAUAUCACUUAUUGAUCCAAAGUUUUUUGAUCAACGGAACAAGUUACCCUAGGGAUAACAGCGCAAUCCUAUUCUAGAGUCCAUAUCGACAAUAGGGUUUACGACCUCGAUGUUGGAUCAGGACAUCCUAAUGGUGUAGCCGCUAUUAAGGGUUCGUUUGUUCAACGAUUAAAGUCCUACGUGAUCUGAGUUCAGACCGGAGUAAUCCAGGUCGGUUUCUAUCUAUUACGCAUUUCUCCCAGUACGAAAGGACAAGAGAAAUAAGGCCAACUUUAAAAAAGCGCCUUCAAACAAUUAAUGAAUUAAUCUUAAUUUAAUAAACGUAGCGCAAAUUAAACCUGCCCAAGACCAGGGCCU
rnacentral:rRNA from 1 species